rnacentral:rRNA from 1 species
UACAGAGGGUGCGAGCGUUAAUCGGAAUUACUGGGCGUAAAGCGCGCGUAGGCGGCUUUGCAAGUCGGGUGUGAAAUCCCCAGGCUCAACCUGGGAACUGCAUUCGAGACUGCAUUGCUAGAGUAUGGGAGAGGGAAGUGGAAUUUCAGGUGUAGCGGUGAAAUGCGUAGAUAUCUGAAGGAACAUCAGUGGCGAAAGCGGCCAACUGGACCAUUACUGACGCUGAGGCGCGAAAGCGUGGGGAGCAAACAGG